rnacentral:rRNA from 1 species
AUUGAACGCUGGCGGCAGGCCUAACACAUGCAAGUCGAGCGGGGUUUUCGGACCUAGCGGCGGACGGGUGAGUAAUGCGUAGGAAGCUGCCCGAUAGAGGGGGAUACCAGUUGGAAACGACUGUUAAUACCGCAUAAUGUCUACGGACCAAAGUGUGGGACCUUCGGGCCACAUGCUAUCGGAUGCGCCUACGUGGGAUUAGCUAGUUGGUGAGGUAAUGGCUCACCAAGGAGACGAUCCCUAGCUGGUUUGAGAGGAUGAUCAGCCACACUGGAACUGAGACACGGUCCAGACUCCUACGGGAGGCAGCAGUGGGGAAUAUUGGACAAUGGGCGCAAGCCUGAUCCAGCCAUGCCGCGUGUGUGAAGAAGGCCUUCGGGUUGUAAAGCACUUUCAGUAGGGAGGAAGGGUUAAGUGUUAAUAGUACUUAACUUUGACGUUACCUACAGAAGAAGCACCGGCUAACUCUGUGCCAGCCGCCGCGGUAAGAC